GAAGAAUGUGAUGUUAUUUUUCUGUUUCACUAUUUACUUGUGAGUCCAGGAACCCGCCUAAAGAGCAGGGUGAAGAAAAAAGAAGUCCAGGAAUCCGUCUGAAGAAUAGGGUGAACAUUUUCAGCUGCAAGUUCAGGAGCUCGCCUGAGGAACAAGGUGCAGAAAUUAUAAGUCCAGGAGCCCGCUUGAAGAACAGGGUGAAAAAAAAGUUCA
rnacentral:lncRNA from 1 species